UACGUAGGGUGCAAGCGUUGUCCGGAAUUAUUGGGCGUAAAGAGCUCGUAGGCGGUUUGUCGCGUCUGCUGUGAAAUCUGGGGGCUCAACCCCCAGCCUGCAGUGGGUACGGGCAGACUAGAGUGCGGUAGGGGAGAUUGGAAUUCCUGGUGUAGCGGUGAAAUGCGCAGAUAUCAGGAGGAACACCGGUGGCGAAGGCGCCACUCUGGGCCGAAACUGACGCUGAGGAGCGAAAGCGUGGGUAGCAAACAGG
rnacentral:rRNA from 1 species